GCUAAUACCGGAUAAGAAAGACGGAUCGCAUGAUCAGCUUUUAAAAGGCGGCGUAAGCUGUCGCUAUGGGAUGGCCCCGCGGUGCAUUAGCUAGUUGGUAAGGUAAAGGCUUACCAAGGCGAUGAUGCAUAGCCGAGUUGAGAGACUGAUCGGCCACAUUGGGACUGAGACACGGCCCAAACUCCUACGGGAGGCAGCAGCC
rnacentral:rRNA from 1 species